rnacentral:rRNA from 1 species
GUUGUAUAGUCAAGUAAUUAAGUGCAUGUGGUGGAUGCCUUGGCAGUCAGAGGCGAUGAAAGACGUGAUAGCCUGCGAAAAGCUCCGGGGAGGCGGCAAAUAUCCUUUGAUCCGGAGAUGUCUGAAUGGGGAAACCCACUUAUCAUAAGAUAGGUAUUGCAUGAUGAAUACAUAGUCAUGCAAGGCGAACGAGGGGAAGUGAAACAUCUCAGUACCCUUAGGAAAAGAAAUCAAUUGAGAUUCCCUUAGUAGCGGCGAGCGAAAGGGGAACAGCCCAUUAAGUUGUGUGUGUUCUAGUGGAACGCUCUGGGAAGUGCGAACGUAGAGGGUGAUAUUCCCGUACACGAAAGGGCACACACAAUGAUGACGAGUAGGGCGAGGCACGUGAAACCUUGUCUGAAUAUGGGGGGACCAUCCUCCAAGGCUAAAUACUCCUGACUGACCGAUAGUGAACCAGUACCGUGAGGGAAAGGCGAAAAGAACCCCUGUGAGGGGAGUGAAAUAGAUCCUGAAACCGCAUGCAUACAAGCAGUGGGAGCCGACUUGUUCGGUGACUGCGUACCUUUUGUAUAAUGGGUCAGCGACUUAUAUUCAGUAGCAAGGUUAACCGCAUAGGGGAGCCGUAGGGAAACCGAGUCUUAAUAGGGCGUAUAGUUGCUGGGUAUAGACCCGAAACCAGGCGAUCUAUCCAUGAGCAGGUUGAAGGUUGGGUAACACUAACUGGAGGACCGAACCCACUGUCGUUGAAAAGCCAGGGGAUGACUUGUGGAUAGGGGUGAAAGGCUAAUCAAGCCUGGUGAUAGCUGGUUCUCCCCGAAAG